CGCACCAAGGAGCGGCGGCUCCGAGGGGGCAUUGGGAGUUCAGGGCGCGGCUGUGACCUGCAGCCACUCGGAGAGGCCGCGCCCCGCACUCGCGAGGUCACUCGCCGCCUGAACCAGAUCAGAUCGGC
rnacentral:precursor_RNA from 15 species